GGGCUUGUGGUUUAGUGGUAUAAUACUCCCUUAGCAUGGGAGUGGUCCAGGGUUCGAUUCCCUGCAAGUCCAU